AUCCCAUGAUGAGGACACUCAAGUAUGGAAUCUUGAAAGUGCUCCAAAGCUUUUGGGACUGUCUCAUCAUGUUGUUGCUAAAAGCUCGAUAUCUUCUGACAAAGAGC
rnacentral:snoRNA from 1 species